AACCCUUUUGCUUCGACAACAUUUAUUGGCUCACUGUUUCAAGCUGAGCUAGAAACAAACAUGGCAAAAAGCAGGAUAGUUACUGUCUCCGCGCUGCAAUUCGCUUGCACCGAUGAUGUUCUCACAAACGUCGAAACAGCAGAAAGGUUGGUUAGAGCAGCUCAUAAGAAGGGGGCUAAUAUUAUUCUGAUACAGGAGUUAUUUGAAAUCUAUUACUUUUGUCAAGCACAAAAGGAAGACUUCUUUCAUCGAGCUAAACCUCGUAAGGAGCACCCAACUAUACUGAGGAUGCAGAAACUGGCAAAAGAAUUGGGAGUAGUAAUUCCAGUUAGCUUUUUUGAGGAGGCAAACAACGCACAUUAUAAUUCAGUAGUUGUGAUUGAUGCUGAUGGGACAGAGCUUGGACUAUACAGGAAAUCCCACAUUCCAGAUGGGCCAGGGUACCAGGAGAAGUUUUAUUUCAACCCAGGCGACACUGGUUUUAAGGCCUUCCAAACUAAAUUCGCCAAAAUUGGAGUUGGUAUUUGCUGGGAUCAGUGGUUUCCAGAGGCAGCUCGAGCCAUGGUUCUUCAAGGGGCAGAAAUAUUGUUCUAUCCUACUGCCAUUGGUUCUGAGCCUCAAGAUGAUGGCCUAGAUUCUCGAGAUCACUGGAAACGGGUGAUGCAAGGCCAUGCUGGAGCUAAUUUGGUACCUUUAGUUGCAUCAAACCGCAUCGGUAAGGAAAUCAUAGAUACUGAACAUGGCAAGAGUGAGAUCACAUUUUACGGGAAUUCGUUUAUAGCAGGCCCCACUGGAGAAUUGAUUGCUAAUGCUGAUGAUAAAGAUGAAGCAAUUCUUGUUGCAGAAUUUGAUCUGGACAAGAUCAAAUCCAAGAGACAUAGUUGGGGGAUAUUUCGCGAUAGACGCCCAGAUUUAUAUAAGGUUCUUCUGACGUUGGAUGGCAGUAACAUUUCCCUCUGAUUCCAUGGUUCGAAAUGCCACGCGGCUGCAAACUGAAGUUUUGGUGGUCGAACUUUGACAAUGGGGGAAGCUUAAAGAUUAAAGAAUGUAUGAAUUGAGGUCUGAGGUGAAAGUCCCGAAACAGAAAAAGGUGAAGGAUUAGAAGAAGAGUUGAACUGUACAGAAAAGGAAAAAAUAUAAAAAGAAGCAGCGAAAAAGCAGGUGCUGGUGCUGGUGCUGGUGCUCUUCUCCUCCAUGGAUGGUCUCGACGUCAUCUUCCUCCUCGUCGGAGUGAACGACGUGCACCUGGAGCCGUCCAUUCUCGCGGCAGGCAUGCAGGAACUCCUGCGUUGAGAUUCUCAUCUCUGUCAGAAUAAGCCUCCCAUUCUGCCUCACGGGCUGCAAGCACCUCUUCCCAAUGCAAGAUAUGGGCGGUGGAAACCCCCCGUAGUUACUCCUCGACCUCCUUGCCGGAUUCCUCAUCUCCUCCUCGUCCGACGACAGGUAUGGCUGACCAAAUAUCUCUGUAAAGGAAUGGUGAUGGUGAUUGUGUCCUGCAGCAGCCUUCAUGGAUUGGAUGUGUUUCCAUGAAUCGUGGAAUGAUGGAUUUUCAGGCAAAGGCAUCUCAAACAAGUGCUGUAUGCCGCAGCAUGUUGCCAUUUCGUUUGCUUUUUCUUGGCUAUAAUCUAGAGAUUGGUGAUGGUGGUGGUUUGGUGUUGGUGUUGGUGGUGGUGUGAAGCUUUUCCCGACCCCAUUAAAGAAUAAUGAGAAAUGGGAAAAGGGGUGAAAUAUGAAAGAGAAUACUAAAUUCUGGUGAGCAUUAUGUGGGGUAUGGGCAAUGAAGGAGAGACCACAGAUGGAUGUGUUGAUGAAUUCAAAUAUUGGCACACUUUAAAUGCGGCCUGCCUCUCAUUUUUUUUUA